rnacentral:rRNA from 1 species
UGGGGAAUAUUGGACAAUGGGGGAAACCCUGAUCCAGCGACGCCGCGUGACUGAAGAAGUAUUUCGGUAUGUAAAGGUCUAUCAGCAGGGAAGAAAAUGACGGUACCUGACUAAGAAGCCCCGGCUAACUACGUGCCAGCAGCCGCGGUAAUACGUAGGGGGCAAGCGUUAUCCGGAUUUACUGGGUGUAAAGGGAGCGUAGACGGCUCUGCAAGUCUGGAGUGAAAGCCCGGGGCUCAACCCCGGGACUGCUUUGGAAACUGUGGAGCUAGAGUGCAGGAGAGGUAAGUGGAAUUCCUAGUGUAGCGGUGAAAUGCGUAGAUAUUAGGAGGAACACCAGUGGCGAAGGCGGCUUACUGGACUGUAACUGACGUUGAGGCUCGAAAGCGUGGGGAGCAAACAGG